CCCGACUUCCCUGGUGGUAAAGCGUCCGUCUACAAUGCGGGAGACCAGGGUUCAAUCCCUGGGUUGGGA
rnacentral:tRNA from 1 species